UCUACAUUGCAUUUACAGGAUUUUGACACAGUUUUUUUUCCCUAAACAGAAAAUAUACUAAAAGCACAGGAAAAAGAUUUAAUACACAGCAUAUUUUAUUUCUUUUUCAAUAUCAUUUUUGGCUCAACAAAAAAGGGCAGUCCGACGUUUUCCAGUUUUGGUGGUCUGCUUUUCACACAAAAAUCUACCACAGUUUUUUCAGCCUGUCUAACAGAAGGAUAUGUGCAUUAAAAACAAGGCUUACGUACAACCUUGCCAACAGUCCAAUGCUUAGCAUAAGGAGCACCAUACACAACGAGGCACAUCUUCAUAAUUCUAGUAUUUAGCGUGAUGACAAGAGGGGGGUGGGGGGGCGGGGUCUUAACAGAUGAUACCCCUGCUCCUCAGGGUUUACAGGAUUGAAAAGCCCUUGACGAAGAGAGUAUCAUCCUAACCCUGUCCCACCACUCGUAUCACAGAAGGAGAUUUUUAAGGCACUAAACUGACAGGACGCAAAA